rnacentral:rRNA from 1 species
AUGGAUGGAGUCUUUGUUGUCAUCCCCACAGAUAGACAAAGGUAUCAGCCCAUCCAUCCAUCACUGUCAGGCGGAACAACUGGGUGUUUGCAUACUACUACUACUGGCGUGCUAACAACAUGCGUCGAAACGACAAGACUGUAUACUAGGAGACUGAAGAAGCCAGAGCAGUUGGCCACCUCCCUGCCUCUACAUGUUAAUUGCCUUUCUUGGCGUCCUGAUGCCAUUUGUACAGAAGUAAUCUCAAGUAAAAGCCAACCAAUAUUUUGCACAGGAGAAACAGUUGAGCCAAAUUAUUUUUAA